GACGAACGCUGGCGGCGUGCUUAACACAUGCAAGUCGAGCGGAAAGGCCCUGCUUUUGUGGGGUGCUCGAGUGGCGAACGGGUGAGUAACACGUGAGUAACCUGCCCUUGACUUUGGGAUAACUUCAGGAAACUGGGGCUAAUACCGGAUAGGAGCUCCUGCUGCAUGGUGGGGGUUGGAAAGUUUCGGCGGUUGGGGAUGGACUCGCGGCUUAUCAGCUUGUUGGUGGGGUAGUGGCUUGCCAAGGCUUUGACGGGUAGCCGGCCUGAGAGGGUGACCGGCCACAUUGGGACUGAGAUACGGCCCAGACUCCUACGGGAGGCAGCAGUGGGGAAUAUUGCACAAUGGGCGGAAGCCUGAUGCAGCAACGCCGCGUGCGGGAUGACGGCCUUCGGGUUGUAAACCGCUUUCGCCUGUGACGAGGCGUGAGUGACGGUAAUGGGUAAAGAAGCACCGGCUAACUACGUG
rnacentral:rRNA from 1 species